AGUUGCAAAGCUUCCGGUUCUGGGGGAAGGCGUGGCUUCCGCGCUCUUUGAAAUGUCCGGCGCCGGAAUGUCUGGGUGCUUUGGUUGGAGAGGGUCCCAUUUCCAGUCAUUCUUCAGCCUGGUGAUUCCCGCGCUCCCCUGAGGAGCAUAUGAAGUACGUCGGUUCUGCCAGGUUGGAACGCGCUGCUGGACACUCGGCCGUAAGGCGGAUCCCGGAUCCCCUCCCACUCCGACCCUUCCCUCCAGAAGGGCCGGUUCCCAAACGGCCCCUUUAGACACAUCCAAGCGGUUGCCGACGGCCCUCACGAUGAAAACUGCUGUCCGUUGGUGAAGGCAGCCUCUUCUGUGCUCCUCGCCGCUGACUUCCUGAGGCGGACCUACCUGUGGAGGCAUACCAGGAACCAGACGAUGACCCCCUCCAAAAGUUGGGUCUUUGAGGAGAGCUACUAACUUGGGUUCCUGGUACACCCUCUACAUGCAGUGGUGAAGCUUAUCUAACAGUCAUUCAUAGAAUCAGUUUGGGAAGGGGAAUUUUCACUGAACUCUCAUAGAGAAACUGUGUUUUAGAUAACAGAAAGUUCUGCACGGUUAAAAUGGAACAGAAAUUUUUUUGCACAGAAAUUAGGAUUACCGAAAAUACUGAAGAAAGACUACCUCUGAUUGGACUCUUCUCAAGGAAUUAAUAAUUCAAGAACUAAGGAAAGAAAAAAGUGAUUAUAUGAAAAUACUGAAGUUGAUCGUAGCAGCUGAAGGCUGAUCCUGUGUGGGUAAAUGUAAACGCUGAAUUCCCACAUUCCAAUGUGCGACCUGGGAUUAAGGCAGCAAUUGAGCAGGGUAAUGUUACUGAGGAGAGCGAACAGAUCGCAGGAUCUCAGAAGGCCUAACAUUAAAGGCAGAUCACCCCUCUGUUCUCAUAAGUUAUAUGGGGAGUUUUGAAAUGGCUUUCACUGUCUUCAGGGAGUUUAUCUUCAGGAUAACUCCCAUGUAUGUUGUGGGCGCAUUAGGAACCCAUGGCUGUUCCCAAAGUCUCCCUUUCCCAUCCUACCCAUUUUUAGAUAUACCCCCUCUUUCAGUAAUCCUUCCUAACUAGACUUCUUUAGACUCCUUCCUCUCCUGCCUACUAAGUUACUUGCACCUGAGCUCCAUAAUUUAUCAAAAUUAUAUAUUGUGAAUACUU
rnacentral:lncRNA from 1 species